CCUGACUAGAAAAUCUGUUUACGUAAAUUUUACUUCCAGCCAAAAUUCGAACUGUACCUAAUUAUAUCGAACUGAUAAGAUUAUCUCAUUUUUUGGAACAUCUGUUUAUCCAAACGGUGAUGCAAAUUCAAUAUGCUUUCAUUUGUUUAUCAGGGUGCAGUUGAAAUAAUUUAUUUUGCAUUCGACCAACUCGCGCAGGUGUUUGUUGAAUUUUUAGAUCCGAGAAAUCUGUGCUUUUGCUUUCAGCGAUUUUGGUGGCCAUUUUGUGAUGAGUGAUAAGUAUUCUUGUGCUAAGUUGAAGAGGAUUUCCGAACAAAAAUAAGUAGGUAACAGCUGAUGGAUAUGUUGGAUGUGGGAACAGAAGUCUUCGAUUCUCAAUGAUGUUAAUUCAUUCUUUUUGAGGUUUUGAGGUAGUAUGAGAAGAAAAUACGUUAAUACAAUUCUAAGGACUCAAUUCUGGAUUAUCAAUCAGGGAAUAGAUACAUAUUCAACAUGGCUAGACUUUUUUAGAAAAGGGAUAGAGGUUUUUUGACAAAAAAUAACUAACAGCUGAUGAAUAUGUUGGAUGUUAGAAUAGUUGGUUUUGAGAGGAUAUGAGAAGAAAAAAAUACGAAUUCGAAUUGAUGAAGUAAGAAAUUAAUACUGAAUUCCAUAACAUUGUGCUUGUAUAUGGUUAGUACAAUUUGAAGGACUCAAUUCUGAAUUUUCAAUCUAAGAAUAGAUACAAAACAUGUCUCGACCUGUUAAGAAGAAAGGAAAGUGACGGAAAAGGAUCUGGCAAGGCAAGUAACUUCCAAUGCUUUUAAACUUGUUCUAGUUUUAGAUAGAGGUUUGCUUUUUCAACCUUUUUGUUUCUCUUUUUUCGCGAUCACUUAUUUUUGUCUGUAAUUUUCGAAUUUUAACCCGAUGUAACUUCUCAAACGAUUUCGUUCGACUCGUACAAAAUUCCUGGUUAAAUCAAUUAUCCCCAACCGGCCGCCGUAAACACGACAACUCUUAAAAAUUUUCCAAGGUUCACUUGAAGCUCUUUGUUUUUCCAACUUAUAUUUGUGUUGAACAAUGAUGCUGGCCGUAUUUAUCUUCAAAUAUUGUCCUUUUGGUAAAGUUCCAGCUUCAACUUUGAGGGCAUUCUUAAGCUCAAAGAUGAAGAAAAUUAUAAUUCAUCCAACUAAACACUUAAUAGUGAAACUACCAAAACUUGGUUUGAGCUACUUUUCCUAGAUGUCGCCAUAUAGGGAAAUCCUUGAAAAAUAUCUGGUGGAUGUGCUAUAUUUAAGCGCAUCCGCAAAAAAGGGGUAUGGUAUAUUUGGUAAUAAUUUACGAGAAAAGUUUUCGAUCAGAUCAGGUUAAAAAUGUGAUAUUACGAAGAAUCUUCAAUCAUGAACAGUUAUCUGCCAUGAGAUGUUUUCUGAAUGAACUUUAAGCUGUUAUAUCCUUCGUCUUGUGGGAUUCUGCAAAAAAAAAUUAGCAUAUUUUAAAUUAGUUCUCAUUUUACAAUUUUGGAUAGAGCAUUAUUUUCUAUUGGAGAAAGAUUCAUACAAAUCAACCAGAUAGAUAAAACUUAUUGAAAUUAUUCAAAAAGUAGCUUUCAAUUUGUUCAUCUGCCCGAUUAUACAAUAUUAAUUUUUUGCAUUCUGCAAAGUUGAAUUCUGUUGGGGCAGCAAAUUGUGUCUCGAACUAGGACGGCCUUUGCUUAGCGACAGCUGUGACUUUUCUCUUGUACAGAAUUUUGAUUAGCCCAAUGAAUAAAGAAAUUAAAAAAACUAUUCAUUUGUAUUAUUGAGGCAUAAAAUAGGACUAAAACAUGGGCUAUCAAAAAUUUGUAUAUCUUGAAUUUUCAUCGUAACCAUUUUGAUUAGCCCAAUCAAUAAAAAAAU